UACAGAGGGUGCAAGCGUUGUUCGGAAUUAUUGGGCGUAAAGAGCUCGUAGGCGGUUUAUCGCGUCUGCCGUGAAAGUCCGGGGCUCAACUCCGGAUCUGCGGUGGGUACGGGCAGACUAGAGUGAUGUAGGGGAGACUGGAAUUCCUGGUGUAGCGGUGAAAUGCGCAGAUAUCAGGAGGAACACCGAUGGCGAAGGCAGGUCUCUGGGCAUUAACUGACGCUGAGGAGCGAAAGCAUGGGGAGCGAACAGG
rnacentral:rRNA from 1 species